UCGGUAUUUCUGUCUGGCAUCUGUCUGUCUUUUUGACCACACAUGUCUGUUUGUGUGUAUUUCAUGUGGACUGUUGUAGUCUGUUAGUCAUGACAAAAAUGAUACAACAUCACCUAAAAACAAGCCGUUACAACUCAGCAAUUCCUAUAUUAUUAUUGAAAUUGCUCUUUAUAUACAGCAAGCGUCACAUGAUAUUACUUUAAUCGAUAAUCUCUUAAUCGCAUUGAAAUAAUCACAAAUUCAGAUAAAAUAAUCCCAAUAAUAAUAUGUCCUAAUAUUGUAGCCCUUCUGUCUUGGUGAUUGUUUAAAUGCUCUACAACAUUGUGCUUUCAGUUCCAGCCAUGAAGAAGUCGUUCAGAAUAAAGCUCAGCUCGGCAGACAUCGACCCCAAUGACCCUGAAUGGAGCGAGGCGAUCCUGAAACAGUUGCACGGGAAGCUGAAGGAGAAGAUGGUGAACAACGACUUCAAUCUGACUUGGACGAAGGCCCCAGAUGGAGAGAUCUUCCACAACACACGCAAAGACGAGAAACAACAACAUCCUUAAUUUGCAGAUGAAAGAUGUCCUCCAAAGGUUGAUUAACCUAGCUGUGACGAUAACAGUCAGUUAGCACCUUGUUCUACAGCAACCUCUUCAACUAACCCACUGCUUCCCACCCUGUUUUGCCCUCUCACCUGAUUUUAGCGUUGUUUUAAUCAAAAUCUGGGACCUGCACUCUACUGAGUGGUUAGGAGUAGCCUAGCCUACUUGUGUCUAUGAAGGCGGGUAUUUUGGGACCUGCGUGAGACCUCUACAUUUUUAUCAUGAAUUUUUUUUAAUAUAAAAUGUACCAGUGUAUAACUCUCGCUUAUAAAUCAGAAAUGUCCCCCGACCCCAUGUGUGGCCCACACAAGUGGGGUCCCGACCCAUAGGUUGGGAACCUUUGAACUCCCUAUCUAUACUAUCCUAUAGGCCUACUAUACUAUGUAGCAUGGCGUUACGUAGGUCUGAAAAUUAGAAACUCCUGAAACAGCUGAAACAGCUCCAGCAUAGACCAGUUUUAUAUUAUUGAUAAAUAAUGAUGAGAAUAGCGAGCUGGAUUGGACCCAGACAAUCAAAUGAGUCCAAUCUGAUCAUAUGUAAUAAUCUCUCUCUGUCUCCACAAUGUUUGAUACUGGCGGCCAUGCAAAGUCUUCCUUUGACUCAAACUGCACGGUCCAAGAUACCCCUCCCUUCCUCCCCCUGUCUCGUCUGUCUCAGCGUUAGUUGGACUAUGGAGGAGGACUUGGUAUUGAUUUGCCCGUAACCAAACUUCAAAACCUGAUGCAAACAAAGAUAUUGACCCGUACAGCCAAGAGGUUGAAAUGGAAUUCAAAAUCCAAUUCAAUCCAAUGAAUAUAGUUUAGUAGAACAUAAUUUAUUAAUAUUGGAAGGAUAGUGUAGUGGUUGGGGUCUUGGACUCUCAUCUGAAGGGUUCUUGGUUCAACGUCCACAGUUCUACUGUAGGACUCCUACAUCAAGAUGCUCCCUAACCUCUACCCCAUGAUCUGUAACCAAAUGAACUUUUGUUUUAUGCGAUGAGAUGACAAGUAGAUGUGUGGUUAGUUAU